rnacentral:lncRNA from 1 species
AGACAGCCUGAGAGGAGCAAGAGCUUCUCCAAGGAUCUCCUCGUGAAUUCAGACCUCGGAAAUAAUGAAAACAUUUAUAUUUCCAGUUUUUAUCUAGAAUUCUCAAAAGUAUCGAAGCUAUUGCAAUUCAUAAUCUGCCUCGACAUAAUUUCGAAAUCAAAGGAACAAAAACAACUUACCUGAAAAGGUCUCUCCUGGGAAAACCCCAGCUUAUGUGUGGGUCGGGAUUCAUUCAGGGAAUAACCCCACGGCCUGCUUUUCCUCAGUUCCACCGUCCCUGCACCCC